AUUGAACGCUGGCGGCAGGCCUAACACAUGCAAGUCGAACGAGUGGCGGACGGGUGAGUAAUGUCUGGGAAACUGCCCGAUGGAGGGGGAUAACUACUGGAAACGGUAGCUAAUACCGCAUACCAUCAGAUGUGCCCAGAUGGGAGUAGCUAGUUGGUGGGGUAACGGCUCACCUAGGCGACGAUCCCUAGCUGGUCUGAGAGGAUGACCAUCCACACUGGAACUGAGACACGGUCCAGACUCCUACGGGAGGCAGCAGUGGGGAAUAUUGCACAAUGGGCGCAAGCCUGAUGCAGCCAUGCCGCGGGUAUGAAGAAGGCCUUCGGGUUGUAAAGUACUUUCAGCGGGGAGGCGUUACCCGCAGAAGAAGCACCGGCUAACUCCGUGCCAGCAGCCGCGGUAAUAC
rnacentral:rRNA from 1 species